GAUAGGGCUCUAGGUUUGGAAUACAGGCAGUCAUGAACCUGUCCCUCAGGCAUGUUCUCUGCCUCUGACCUCUGGCUCCUUAAAGUCUGGGAACCAUGCUGUGAUUCAGGGGUGUCUGCCUUUGGGGUCUUGUUUCCUUCCCUGUAUCACACACCUUCUGUACCCUAGUUCCUACACUGACAAUAUAUGCUAGCCUCGUUACCUUCUGUGUUCACAGGAUUGCUAUGUCGGCCCUUUAGUGAGUGUCUGCAUUUCGUUCAAAUCUAUGAGCACAGCUGUGUUCUAAUCUCUCAGAGCAACAUCAUGCUGGGAGUCCAUUCCUCCCUGGGCAUGUGGUAAUGUCUUACUCAAGGGCUGUGGGAAAGGAUAGGCAUUUAAGUCAUUUAAGCUAUCUCUCCCCACCAGGCAGGACUGUUGAAUAUCUCUAACCAACUUUUAAAGCCCAUAUACCUCCCAUUCCCUCCUAUCUUAUUAGAAGGGCUCUUGUCCUUUAACAGGUUUUGGCCUAUAGGUCAAGGGUUAAGUUUAGGUUUACAUUUAAGUGCUAGAGUAACCCAUAACAAGGCUGAAUAUAACUGGUCUCCUUUUAAGUUUCUUUGUAUGUGAGUUAAUAGCCUUGGUCACUUCCUUGUAUGUGAGUUAAUAGCCUUGGUCACUUUCUAACAUCACUGCACUUCUGACUGUCCAGGAGGUCUUAGAGCCUUAAAGAAGUGACAAUUUUAAGCAAAAGCCGUGGUUGGUAAGCAGUGGAUAUUGCUGAGAGCUGUUACUCUUUUCCUCCAGGUUUGCCCAGGAGUCACAAUGGGACCUCUUUGAGCACUAUUUUUCUAAGUCGUGCCAGUUGGUGAAAAGAACCAAUGCCUCACUAUUUGGUGCUCAUGGCUUUGUCCGAUUCCUAGAGUGCCAUGUGUUAAUGUUACAGAAAAUGCCAGAGGGUAUCUUCAUGCAUAUUCCCCUAGAGCUUCGCAGCCAAACGCUCGAGGUACCUGUUUCUCAGCUGCCCUUCAACUCACACCUAACUCCCUUAGUUCUACCCUAUGAUGCUCUUUCUGCCACCGGAAUCUCUUCCUUACUUUCCCUUUUACUGGCUCUGACUCCCUUUACUCUGAAUCCUUUGUUUCUCCACAUAGAAAGUUUCCACCUACCUUAUGUAUCCUUCCAGAUAUUAUUGCAUCUAGGUCUGGACUGGGUUUCUUAACUUUCCACCUUUGCCAGCUACUACUCAGUAUCAUUAAAAUAUUAACAUUUAGCCCUGCUCAGUGAACCUAUACUCUAUGGUUCAGUCUAUAAUUUGACACAUCUACCUACAGCCCUUCUGAGUCUAGAACACAUUCCAGUUCCUCUGUAUCCCCAAGUCAGUUUUCCAGGCCCACUUUGCCAUCAGUAACUCCUCCCUGUUACCCUAGUCAUGAGUGAAUACGUUGAAUGAGGACCUUUGUAAGUUCUGAUGAAGUGGCAUGUUAGGAAAAUGAAGCACUAAUCCCAGAGCUAAUGUACCUUCUUUUCCUUUCAGUACUUUAAAGAGUUCUUCUCUCGAUGUGUGACCUGCCCUGUCUACCACCAGUGAGUAUCUGAGCUUAAGGCCUCUGCAAUGAGUUGUGAAAAGAGAGAAUUCAUGUCCCUGACUAAGAGCGUCAGGCCUUUUGAUACCUGCUUCACCAGGAUUUGGAUAAAAGGAGACUUUCUGGAGGAAGAUAACUCUUAGAAAUUUAGGAAUACAGAGUAAGCAAUUCUUCCUGGAACCCUUGUGUGAGAGACAUAGAGACUGUCUUAGAUUCUUACUCACAAGUAGUCAAAGGCUGCACCUCCGAAGUAAAAAGGGACACACAGAUAUAAGGAGUUAGUCCUUGCUCUAGAGGAUUUGACAGAGUGGAUGAUGUCAAGGAGAGAAGGAUGCAAAAGAAACUCAAGAUGUAUGUGUUAAAACAGAAAAAACAAUAAUCUGAAGGGACCAUGAUUCUUUUAUUGUAUAUAACAUAAGGAAAUGCCCCCAAAUUCUCCUUUUAAAGCUAUAGUGUACAUAUUAAGUAUCCUAGCCUUUACAGUUACUGCUAUUUAUAUCUUUAUCCAAAUAAAAGCCUAUGUUUUCUGAAACA